ACCUACGGCCACACUACCCUGAAUGUGCCCAGUCUCGUCUGAUCUCAGAAGCUAAGCAGGGUCAGGCUUGGUUAGUACUUGGAUGGGAGACUUAGGAGGCCUCCAGAGUUGUCCCUU
rnacentral:rRNA from 1 species